GACGAUUGGAGACGCACCACGUUGCGACUACCGCGGCCCGACGCGCCGGAGCGCUCUCCGUGCUACGGUAUAUAAAGUAUUUUCCGAUGCGAGCGUGGAUUGGAUAGGUCAUAUCGCUGUAUGAACACACCGCGCGCGCGACUCGUGUGAUCGUGUCGCAUGCGUUUUGUUUGAUGAGCUGAACGCGCCCGACCUUUCGCGGCGGAUGGAUUCGGUUUUGCAUUCAUUACGCCCCCGAAACAAUCCGUUUUGGGCGUGCCAGCACACGUAAUUAUCAGUUGGAGUUUGAUUUUGAAGAAAAAAUCGGGUCGAGAUGGGAAAUAUUGAAAUUCUUCGUCAUAGUAGCGCUUCGUGGAAUGAAACGAAAAACGUGACGAAAUCGACACAUUCACUAUUCGUUCAGUGGUCCAAUCGACGACGACGGGCCGAUUCGCGGCGUGCUCCGCAACACAACUUCUUCGUCGCAGAGAGCUGCUGCUGCUGGCUGGCUGCUGCCUCUCUCGCCGGUAAAACCUGAAUUUUAACUUUUACGGCAGAACUUAGAGAGUCGAAGAAUUCGUGUAAAUUCGCAGUAAGGACGUGAAUCACUCAAUGAAAUCUUAUAUUCCUUGAA